UAGGGAAUCUUCCACAAUGGGCGCAAGCCUGAUGGAGCAACACCGCGUGAGUGAAGAAGGGUUUCGGCUCGUAAAGCUCUGUUGUUAAAGAAGAACACGUAUGAGAGUAACUGUUCAGGUAUUGACGGUAUUUAACCAGAAAGCCACGGCUAACUACGCGCCAG
rnacentral:rRNA from 1 species